rnacentral:tRNA from 1 species
AGCAGAGUGGCCGCAGUGGAAGCGUGCUGGGCCCAUAACCCAGGGUCCUAGGAUCAAAACCUCGCUCUGCUA